rnacentral:rRNA from 1 species
UACGGAGGGGACUAGCGUUGUUCGGAAUUACUGGGCGUAAAGCGCACGUAGGCGGAUUUGUUAGUCAGGGGUGAAAUCCCGAGGCUCAACCGGGGAACUGCACCUGAUACUGGCGUGCUCGAGGACGGUAGGGGUGAGUGGAACUCCAGGUGGAGCGGAUGAAAUGCGUAGAUAUCUGGAGGAACACCGGUGGCGAAAGCGGCUCACUGGACCGUCUCUGACGCUGAGGUGCGAAAGCUAGGGUAGCAAACGGG